GUGUGCAGCAUUGGUGUCUGUUAUAUUGAGUGUUUGUUAUAUUAAGUAUUUUGAAGAAGUUUAUGUUUAUUUUGAGAGUAAAUUAUUGAACUGAGUGAAAAGUCUGAAAAGAGUGCAUCUGCUGCACACAAAGGCAAAGAGAAUAAAAGCCUACCUGAAGCACGUCACAGCUCCCCGUCUCUUCCUUCCAUACCCAAACUUUUAAAUUGUGUUACACUGGUGCUGAAACCCAGGACCUCGUGGAAGGAGUUACAUCGUCAUGGAGUCUUCACCACUGGCCGAAGUGAUCCAGACCCUCGCUGGCAUCCAACGGAAUCAACAUCAUGCCCUCAUCAAGCUGUGAUUGGAGCAGGAGCAGUGUUUUUUAAAGGCCCAAGUGAAAGACCGGCAGGUGUUUUGGAGUCUGAUCACACACGAAGGGGCUGCAGCUGCGACCCCGGAGCCCUCACCGAAAAUCUCACUGGUCACUCUUGUCAAAAUGAGCACUGCUGAUGAUCCGGAGGCCUACCUCAAUCUGUUCGAGAAGACGGCCGAGGUGUGGAGAUGGCCACCGGACCAGUGGGCGGCCCACUUACUGCCAUUGCUCUCCAGGGAAGCACAACUAGCAGCUCAACAACUCCCCACCACUAACCUCCUCGUGUACGCCGAUCUAAAGAGAGCCAUCAUGCAAUGGGUCGGUCGAAGUCCAUAACAAAUUCGCCAACACUUCUGUUCCCUGAGGCUGGGAAGGCACGGCCGCAUGUUCGCCUUCACGCAGGGGACCUACGGUGCCCAGGAUAUUGUAGAUCUGGUGACACUGGAGCAGUUAAUCUCCCAGCUUCCUCGUGGCAUGUCGAGUGGUUCCAGUGCCACCGUCCAGCAUCGCUGGAGGAUGCAGUCCAGUUGGCAGAGGACUACAUGACGGCGUUUCCAGGAACCACUGAAGCAGAUUCUCUCUCACUCUCUCUCUCCUUCCCCCAAACCCCGCCCCUGCCCGUGCUCUUUCCAUCCCAUCCCUGCCCCCAAGAGAUAGGGCAGUACCAUGCCCAAAUCUCUUCCCCCUGCUAACCCUCUCUCUUUCCACUAUCCCUCCCAGAUUGGUGAGCCCAGUCCCACAGGAGUGGUAGGGAAACCAGGGCAUUACAGGAAUGGAGGUGGGCACUCUUGUCUGGGUCCCCGAUGCUCCACAGGCCACCCCCGAUCGAGCUGGGGCAUAUCGGAUACUGAAUGUCCCAGGUGCUCUUUUCCAUACAAUGAAAGUGGAUGAAGGCUGGGUCUUUCAAGCUCCAACAACGAUUUGAGAGCUGCCUCGGGGGGAGAUUUUCCAUGGCAAUGUGAAACUAGUUUCCAGAGCCAGCAAGAUCCAGCUCUAUUCCUGCUUGGUGUUGGACUCCACUGCUACGUGUCUCUGACUAAUGAUGACUAAAUGCAGCCGGUGCUAGUCAGACAUCACUUCAGUCUUUUACGAUGUACUUCAGAGGAUAAACUGAUGCCAACUCCAACCAUAAAACAUCAGAUACUUCAUAUGCCACUGCCUGAACGUUGGAUUUCGGAUGGACCUCACUGAAAUGACCUGCCAGUUGAACUGCGAUGCACCUCACUGAUCUCCGCCUGCAUCACCUUUGUUUAUUAAUGGACUACACUCUUGAAAUUGAAUACAUAGACUAUCAAUUAAUUGCCAAUAAAAGCCUUCAUCAGCCAACUAACAAAGGACAGUGCAUCUAUGUGAACUUCUGCAGUUAAUCCAGGAUGAACUUCAAAGACAUUAGUCAUUAAUCUUACAGUUCAUAAAAAAUCUUUGUUUAAUCACUGGCCCGUAACACUUACUUAGUUUACUAAUCUUAAACCAUGACCUGCACUGUACAUAAAUAACUAAUAUUGGCAUUAUAUUCAUGUUGUUUAGCCAGAGGGGAACUGGCCCCACAGUGAGUCUGGUUUCUCCCAAGGUUAUUUUUCUCCAUUAACCAACAUCUUAUGGAGUUUGAUGUUCCUUGCCACAGUUGCCUUCGGUUUGCUCAUAAUGGUUCUAAAUACAAUUAUGAUUUAACUAUUUAAUUAUUCAUUUUAAUCCACAAUUUACAAUCACACAAUGAUGACUCUAAGACUUUUCUCUUAAAGCAUAAUUUUCUGUAAAGCUGCUUUGAAACGAUGUGUGUUGUGAAAAGCGCUAUACAAAUAAA